GAGUUUGAUCCUGGCUCAGGACGAACGCUGGCGGCGUGGAUUAGGCAUGCAAGUCGAACGCGAAAGUUUCCCUUCGGGGAAAUGAGUAGAGUGGCGGACGGGUGAGUAACGCGUAGGUAUCUGCCUUUAAGUGGGGGAUAGCCCCGGGAAACCGGGAUUAAUACCGCAUGUGGAACUUCGGUUCUAAAGAUGGCCUCUGUUUCAAGCUAUCGCUUAGAGAUGAGCCUGCGUCCUAUUAGCUAGUUGGUAAGGUAACGGCUUACCAAGGCGAUGAUAGGUAGGCGGCUUUAACGAGUGGUCGCCCACACUGGGAUUGAGAUACGGCCCAGACUCCUACGGGAGGCAGCAGUCGAGAAUAGUCUACAAUGGAGGGAACUCUGAUAGUGCGACGCCGCGUGGAUGAAGAAGCAUUUCGGUGUGUAAAAUCCUUUUCUUUGUGAGCAAUGCCUGUAUGAUUAAUAGUUUUACAGGAGAGAUAUUAGCAGAGGAAUAAGCUCCGGCUAACUCCGUGCCAGCAGCCGCGGUAACACGGGGGGAGCAAGCGUUGUCCGGAAUUACUAGGCGUAAAGGGCAAGUAGGCGGAAUUGUAAGUCAGAUGUUAAAGGCACCGGCUCAACCGGUGUACGGCAUUUGAUACUGUAAUUCUAGAGUAAGGUGGGGGAAGAUGGAAUUCCUGGUGUAGCGGUGGAAUGCGCAGAUAUCAGGAAGAACACCAGAGGCGAAGGCGAUCUUCUAUACCAUUACUGACGCUAAAUUGCGAAGGUGUGGGUAUCAAACAG
rnacentral:rRNA from 1 species